rnacentral:rRNA from 1 species
GACGAACGCUGGCGGCGUGCCUAAUACAUGCAAGUCGAACGAGAGCGACCGGUGCUUGCACUGGUCAAUCUAGUGGCGAACGGGUGAGUAACACGUGGGUAACCUGCCCAUCAGAGGGGGAUAACAUCCGGAAACGGAUGCUAAAACCGCAUAGGUCUUCGAGCCGCAUGGCUUGAAGAGGAAAAGAGGCGCAAGCUUCUGCUGAUGGAUGGACCCGCGGUGCAUUAGCUAGUUGGUGAGGUAACGGCUCACCAAGGCAGUGAUGCAUAGCCGACCUGAGAGGGUGAUCGGCCACAUUGGGACUGAGACACGGCCCAAACUCCUACGGGAGGCAGCAGUAGGGAAUCUUCCGCAAUGGACGCAAGUCUGACGGAGCAACGCCGCGUGAGUGAAGAAGGUUUUCGGAUCGUAAAACUCUGUUGUUAGAGAAGAACAAGUGCUAGAGUAACUGUUAGCGCCUUGACGGUAUCUAACCAGAAAGCCGCGGCUAACUACGUG